rnacentral:rRNA from 1 species
UAGUAAGUGUGUAAGAGCGUACGGUGGAUGCCUUGGCACCAGGAGCCGAUGAAGGACGUAGGAGGCUGCGAUAAGCCUCGGGGAGCUGUCAACCGAGCUGAGAUCCGAGGAUUUCCGAAUGGGGAAACCCAGCACGAGUGAUGUCGUGUUACCCGCCGUUGAAUAUAUAGACGGUGUGGAGGGAACGUGGGGAAGUGAAACAUCUCAGUACCCACAGGAAGAGAAAACAAUAGUGAUUCCGUGAGUAGUGGCGAGCGAAAGCGGAAGAGGCUAAACCGGUUGUGUGUGAUAGACGGCAGUCGUUGCAUAGCCGGGGUUGUGGGACUUGCUUUCUCAGAUCUGCCGAUCUGGGCGACAGUCAGAAAAGAUCGCGUUAGUCGAAUUGGUCUGGGACGGCCAACCGUAGACGGUGAGAGUCCGGUAGACGAAAACGUGUUCUCUGUUGUAGCAGGCACCCGAGUAGCAGCGGGCCCGUGAAAUCUGCUGUGAAUCUGCCGGGACCACCCGGUAAGCCUGAAUACUCCCUGGUGACCGAUAGCGGACUAGUACCGUGAGGGAAAGGUGAAAAGUACCCCGGGAGGGGAGUGAAAUAGUACCUGAAACCGUGCGCUUACAAUCCGUCAGAGCCUUCGAUUCGUCGUGGGGUGAUGGCGUGCCUUUUGAAGAAUGAGCCUGCGAGUCAUCGGUGUGUGGCGAGGUUAACCCGUGUGGGGUAGCCGUAGCGAAAGCGAGUCCGAAUAGGGCGUUUGAGUCGCAUGUCAUGGACCCGAAGCGGAGUGAUCUACCCAUGGCCAGGGUGAAGCGACGGUAAGACGUCGUGGAGGCCCGAACCCACUUAGGUUGAAAACUGAGGGGAUGAGCUGUGGGUAGGGGUGAAAGGCCAAUCAAACUCCGUGAUAGCUGGUUCUCCCCGAAAUGCAUUUAGGUGCAGCGUCGCGUGUUUCACACUGGAGGUAGAGCUACUGGAUGGCCUAGGGGGCCCACAAGCUUACCGAAGUCAGCCAAACUCCGAAUGCCGGUGUGUGAGAGCGCGGCAGUGAGACUGCGGGGGAUAAGCUUCGUAGUCGAGAGGGAAACAGCCCAGAUCGCCGGCUAAGGCCCCUAAGCGUGUACUAAGUGGAAAAGGAUGUGGGGUCGCUGAGACAACCAGGAGGUUGGCUUAGAAGCAGCCACCCUUGAAAGAGUGCGUAAUAGCUCACUGGUCAAGUGAUCCUGCGCCGAUAAUGUAGCGGGGCUCAAGUACACCGCCGAAGCCGCGGCACUCAGUCAUACAGAUCGCCUUCGGGCCAGUCGACUGGGUGGGUAGGGGAGCGUCGUGUAGCCAGGGAAGCAGCGGGGUGACCUAGUUGUGGAGGCUGCGCGAGUGAGAAUGCAGGCAUGAGUAGCGAAAGACGAGUGAGAAACUCGUCCGCCGAAUGACCAAGGGUUCCUGGGCCAGGUUAAUCCGCCCAGGGUGAGUCGGGACCUAAGGCGAGGCCGACAGGCGUAGUCGAUGGACAACGGGUUGAUAUUCCCGUACCCGUGUAUCCGCGCCCAAUGGCGA